rnacentral:rRNA from 1 species
AAUGAACGCUGGCGGUGUGCCUAACACAUGCAAGUCGAGCGGCCAGACAAUAAGCUCUUGCCCUUACCGUUAGCGGCUGACGGACGAGUAAGGCGUAGAUAACCAUCUUCUUUUUCUUGGGUAAUUUCGUGAAGCCGCUUACGCUACUACCUCAUAUAUUCUACCGCUUAAUUCAAUAGUUAAUCACGCCUUUCCUGUUUCUUUUAGCUGGUUCCGCGCCGCAUUAGUUAGUUGGUAAGGUAACGGCUUACCAAGGCGACGAUGCGUAGCCGGCCUGAGAGGGUGAUCGGCCACACUGGAACUGAGACACGGUCCAGACUCCUACGGGAGGCAGCAGUAGGGAAUCUUCGGCAAUGGGCGAAAGCCUGACGGAGCAACGCCGCGUGAGUGAAGAAGGUCUUCGGAUCGUAAAGCUCUGUUAUUAGGGAAGAACAAAUGUGGAAGUAAAUAUGCACGUCUUGACGGUACCUAAACAGAAAGCAACGGCUAACUACGUG